GAAAUGCGAUAAUUAAUGUGAAUUGCAGAAUUCAGUGAAUCAUCGAGUCUUUGAACGCACAUUGCGCCCCCUGGUAUUCCGGGGGGCAUGCCUGUCCGAGCGUCAUUGCUGCCCUCAAGCACGGCUUGUGUGUUGGGCUUCCGUCCCUGGCAACGGGGACGGGCCCAAAAGGCAGUGGCGGCACCAUGUCUGGUCCUCGAGCGUAUGGGGCUUUGUCACCCGAUCCCGUAGGUCCAGCUGGCAGCUAGCCUCGCAACCAAUCUUUUUAACCAGGUUGACCUCGGAUCAGGUAGGGAUACCCGCUGAACUUAAGC
rnacentral:misc_RNA from 1 species